AAGUCGUAACAAGGUUUCCGUAGGUGAACCUGCGGAUGGAUCAUUAUCGUAUUACCACGUAUCAACCAAACUGUGAACCGUAUUUGAGCAUCGGUGGAAGUGAACUGUGACGUUCAAGACUUCGGUUUUGAACGCCUGGAGGACACCUUCUGUUUUGGUGUUGGCUUCACGGCUGACAUUGCUUUUCUGGGGGAAGGACCAAACAGUUCGUCUUUUUGUUUCACGACAAGAAGAAAAAAACAUGCUAUGAACCGACUCAUCUUAUUAUUUCCCUAAAAGCGCCCACUCCACAAAAGUACGUAAUAUGACCGCGACUAAGUCCCUUUUCUUACUCCCGAAAGGGGGAAGAAAAUCGUAGAAAUACGAAACUAAGUAUAACUCUUAGCAACGGAUAUCUCGGUUCUCAUAACGAUGAAGAACGCAGC
rnacentral:misc_RNA from 1 species